UUGCCCAAUGAUUAUAGCAAGACGCGUUAUUACGAGGACUAAUGCUGGAACUCUACUUCUUACUCUUACUCUUCCCUUUCUUCUUUGUCCUUCUUUGCUUUCACCUUUUUUAUCCCUCACUUUUAUUUUCUUGGGGUGUCCAGCGUCCUAUGAACAAGAUUAUGAGAUAUGAGGGCAA
rnacentral:snoRNA from 1 species